AUAGAUCAAGAAAGUAUAGAACUAAGCAAAAGGUACUUAUUAAAGAUUGGCCACUUGUGCUUUUGGGAGAGAGCUAAAAUGUAAGGUGUGAAAAGAUCU